rnacentral:rRNA from 1 species
UACCCCCAUAGGCCGAGAGGUUAAAGGCAGAGAUGCGCGACAGGAGGAGCUCGUGUCCUAUCAGCUGGUUGGUGAGGUAACGGCUCACCAAGGCGACGACGGGUAGCCGGCCUGAGAGGGUGACCGGCCACACUGGAACUGAGACACGGUCCAGACUCCCACGGGAGGCAGCAGUGGGGAAUAUUGGGCAAUGGGAGGAAUCCUGACCCAGCGACGCCGCGUGAACGAAGACGGCCUUCGGGUUGUAAAGUUCUUUUAUGUGGGAAGAAUUAAGUGACGGUACCACAUGAAUAAGCCCCGGCUAACUACGUGCCAGCAGCCGCGGUAAUACGUAGGGGGCGAGCGUUGUCCGGAAUUACUGGGCGUAAAGGGCACGCAGGCUGUGCUUCAAGUCAGCUGUAAAAGGAUGCGGCUUAACCGUGUUAUGCAGUUGAGACUGAGGUGCUGGAGUACCGGAGAGGCAAGUGGAAUUCCCAGUGUAGCGGUGAAAUGCGUAGAUAUUGGGAAGAACAUCGGUGGCGAAGGCGACUUGCUGGACGGUAACUGACGCUGAGGUGCGAGAGCCAGGGUAGCGAACGGGAUUAGAUACCCCGGUAGUCCUGGCCGUAAACGAUGAAUGCUAGGUGUGCGAGCAGAGAUGUUGGUGUGC